rnacentral:sRNA from 1 species
UCAGCCCCUCCCGCCGCGGAGGGCGCGGGUCUCGAUGCGCGUGCGCCGAGCGGGAGUGUGCUCUCUGCUGCACUGCGCCGGGGCAGCGGACCGCGCUGGGCGUGGGCGCCGCGGCCCGGGGGCGGGUCCCGGUCGGAAGCAGAUGCUGCUCUGCUCCGGCUACCAGGGCAAGGCUGCGCUCGGGUCAGCACCGAGAUCCCGCGCCGCAUAGGGCAGGGUCGGGACCCGGCCGAGGGCUUAGGGUGUGACCCCGGAGACCAAGGAUGCGUUCUCGCCUCGGUGCCUGUGCCUUGGGGAUACCCGGAGAAGCAAGGACAAAAAGUGGCUUCCUGGAAAAGCUUUUGUUAUGUGAUGCCCUCUUGCAGUUGAGCUAGGACAUUUUUAAAUCAUCGUUUUGACAAGGUCAAAGCCCCACACGGUUCCAUCUGCUGCAUUUUAAUAGAACUCUGGAAUUCUAAAGUGAAACCUUUUAAAAUGAAAGCUCUAGAGUGUGACCUAGAUAAAAAUGAUUAAAGCCGUCUUUAAGAGGAUUUUAGGGUUGGGAGGGGACUGAUAGAACAAUUGUAGAAAGGAUUUUCUGGUUUUGGCUACUAGGGAUUGUAAAUCUCGACGGAGCCUGUGCACAUUUAGCAGAGAGCGAUUGUCACACAGGACUGAUUAGAGAUUCUGCUAGUAACCCUCUCAAAACCAAAUCAGCUAAAGAUCACCGGGGUGGGGGUGGGGGGACGGGGGUAACCUGCAGUCGGACGAAACCAGAUUUGAUAGUAAAUCGGAAGACAUAACAAGGGAAAAAAGAAUAGGGGGAUGGAAGAGGAAACCCUUUUGUAAGGUUUGUGUUCCCGCCAAAAGAAUCUGAGGAGGGUCUAGGGAAAGCCGAGAUCCGUUCUGGAUUGGACAUCAUCGAUUCUAAAGAGGGUCUUAUUCUGUAUCCCUGAGUGUCCUGAACCUGGACAGAGAAGCUCCCCUGGAACUCCUAGAAACCCAUCUGCCUCUGCUUCUCAAGUACUGGGAUUAAAGGCAUGCUCCACCAUGAACCUUGAGAUAGGUCCUUAGGCCUUCAGGAGAAAAGCAGUGUUGGCAAAAGUGUGGAGCACAAUCAAUUUUCUGGAGUCCCGCCCUCAAAUAUCUGACACUUGGUUUCGAAAUGCCCACACAGGAAGCGCACGUGGUUCCGGCUUGGACUAAACAGGUAAGAAGUUGUUAUCCCGAUGCGCUCAUGUUCCAGCUUGGCGCCGUCUGUGAUCUGUCUUUGGAUAGUAGUAAUUGCCCGAUCGGUACCUACUGUGGCCUAAUUGUGUCUGUUAGCUGAACUCUUCCCUGUGCAGCAUUGAGCAGCCUGGCCAAGAACUGCAUUUCUUAUGUCAAAGCUAGCAAUUUGUUUAAAGCAACGGCACGCUACGCUGUCUUUUGUCUGAGGGGCUUUAGCAGCUAUGCCCUGUGCUGCAGUCUCCUAAAGGAACUGGAUUGUCUGAAGCAUUCCCAAGCAGCUAUGACGAGCUCAAAUCUGAAGGAGUCAGCCAGUCAUCAACUAACCUUAAAAUUGGAAUUAUUUGAAUCCAAGUUGACCAAUGACCAUCUUGAGCUCCAGCAUGAAUCGGACAGGAUUCUGGCAGUGGAAUCAAGAGCUUGCUCCAUUCAGAACAUGGCUGCCGUCUCUCCUGUUGCUGCCCUGUCCCCGGCCCCACCCAGGUGUAGUAGCCUCAAGCUGAGGAAUGAUGUGGAUUCUCUGGUCCUCUGUCUCCACCUCCCAAGUGUUGGAUUAUAGCUAUGCUUUUAUUUUGAUCCAUGAACUGGGCAGGUGUAGACUGGCCCCCUCCACUCCUCAUACAUGGACUUCUGGGUAAAUAGUAACCAAAUAAUGUCUCCUUCAAACCCAUGUAGGAGACUCGUAGGUGUCAGAAAUGGAAAGACUCAAAUUCAGAGUAGUGAGUGAGUGCUAGAGCUGGGGCUGUCACAGAGCACCAAGGAUUGGCCAUUGUCAAGCAGCAUAGUGUCAUCGGACUUCACAUCCAGAGAAUAAACACCUGACUUAACUAAGAGAGGGGUACAAGAAGUGUUCAUCAGCUCCCUGAGCACGAACAAGAAGGAAGGCUGUGCUCUCAGGGAGGUGGGAGUG